GACAGAGGGUGCAAACGUUGUUCGGAAUUACUGGGCGUAAAGCGCGUGUAGGCGGCCGCGUGUGUCGGGCGUGAAAUCCCACGGCUCAACCGUGGAAGUGCACUCGAAACUGCGCAGCUAGAGUCCUGGAGAGGAAGGUGGAAUGCUUGGUGUAGAGGUGAAAUUCGUAGAUAUCAAGCGGAACACCGGUGGCGAAGGCGACCUUCUGGACAGUGACUGACGCUGAGACGCGAAAGCGUGGGGAGCAGACAGG
rnacentral:rRNA from 1 species